rnacentral:rRNA from 1 species
AAAUUGAAGAGUUUGAUCAUGGCUCAGAUUGAACGCUGGCGGCAGGCCUAACACAUGCAAGUCGAACGGUAGCACAGAGAGCUUGCUCUCGGGUGACGAGUGGCGGACGGGUGAGUAAUGUCUGGGAAACUGCCUGAUGGAGGGGGAUAACUACUGGAAACGGUGGCUAAUACCGCAUAACGUCGCAAGACCAAAGAGGGGGACCUUCGGGCCUCUUGCCAUCAGAUGUGCCCAGAUGGGAUUAGCUUGUUGGUGAGGUAACGGCUCACCAAGGCGACGAUCCCUAGCUGGUCUGAGAGGAUGACCAGCCACACUGGAACUGAGACACGGUCCAAGACUCCUACGGGAGGCAGCAGUGGGGAAUAUUGCACAAUGGGCGCAAGCCUGAUGCAGCCAUGCCGCGUGUAUGAAGAAGGCCUUCGGGUUGUAAAGUACUUUCAGCGGGGAGGAAGGUGUUGUGGUUAAUAACCACAGCAAUUGACGUUACCCGCAGAAGAAGCACCGGCUAACUCCGUGCCAGCAGCCGCGGUAAUACGGAGGGUGCAAGCGUUAAUCGGAAUUACUGGGCGUAAAGCGCACGCAGGCGGUCUGUCAAGUCGGAUGUGAAAUCCCCGGGCUCAACCUGGGAACUGCAUUCGAAACUGGCAGGCUUGAGUCUUGUAGAGGGGGGUAGAAUUCCAGGUGUAGCGGUGAAAUGCGUAGAGAUCUGGAGGAAUACCGGUGGCGAAGGCGGCCCCCUGGACAAAGACUGACGCUCAGGUGCGAAAGCGUGGGGAGCAAACAGGAUUAGAUACCCUGGUAGUCCACGCCGUAAACGAUGUCUACUUGGAGGUUGUGCCCUUGAGGCGUGGCUUCCGGAGCUAACGCGUUAAGUAGACCGCCUGGGGAGUACGGCCGCAAGGUUAAAACUCAAAUGAAUUGACGGGGGCCCGCACAAGCGGUGGAGCAUGUGGUUUAAUUCGAUGCAACGCGAAGAACCUUACCUGGUCUUGACAUCCACAGAAGAAUCCAGAGAUGGAUUUGUGCCUUCGGGAACUGUGAGACAGGUGCUGCAUGGCUGUCGUCAGCUCGUGUUGUGAAAUGUUGGGUUAAGUCCCGCAACGAGCGCAACCCUUAUCCUUUGUUGCCAGCGGUCCGGCCGGGAACUCAAAGGAGACUGCCAGUGAUAAACUGGAGGAAGGUGGGGAUGACGUCAAGUCAUCAUGGCCCUUACGACCAGGGGCUACACACGUGCUACAAUGGCGCAUACAAAGAGAAGCGACCUCGCGAGAGCAAGCGGACCUCAUAAAGUGCGUCGUAGUCCGGAUUGGAGUCUGCAACUCGACUCCAUGAAGUCGGAAUCGCUAGUAAUCGUGGAUCAGAAUGCCACGGUGAAUACGUUCCCGGGCCUUGUACACACCGCCCGUCACACCAUGGGAGUGGGUUGCAAAAGAAGUAGGUAGCUUAACCUUCGGGAGGGCGCUUACCACUUUGUGAUUCAUGACUGGGGUGAAGUCGUAACAAGGUAACCGUAGGGGAACCUGCGGUUGGAUCACCUCCUUA